AUACGGGGGGGACGAGCGUUGUUCGGAUUUACUGGGCGUAAAGGGCGCGUAGGCGGGCCCUCAAGUCGGGUGUGAAAACUGGUGGCUCAACUGCCAGCCUGCAUUCGAUACUGAGGAUCUUGAGUACGGGAGAGGAAAGCGGAAUUCCAGGUGUAGCGGUGAAAUGCGUAGAUAUCUGGAAGAACACCGGUAGCGAAGGCGGCUUUCUGGACCGAUACUGACGCUAAAGCGCGAAGGCUUGGGUAGCAAACAGGAUUAGAAACCCGAGUAGUCC
rnacentral:rRNA from 1 species